rnacentral:rRNA from 1 species
UACGUAGGGGGCAAGCGUUGUCCGGAAUCAUUGGGCGUAAAGCGCGUGUAGGCGGUCCGGUAAGUCCGCUGUGAAAGUCGGGGGCUCAACCCUCGGAUGCCGGUGGAUACUGUCGGGCUUGAGUACGGAAGAGGCGAGUGGAAUUCCUGGUGUAGCGGUGAAAUGCGCAGAUAUCAGGAGGAACACCAAUUGCGAAGGCAGCUCGCUGGGACGUUACUGACGCUGAGACACGAAAGCGUGGGGAGCAAACAGG